UGAAAUUGGUUUGUGGUCAUAUUAUAUCAAGAGAUGCCCUGAAUAAAAUGUUUAAUGGUAGCAAAUUAAAGUGUCCAUAUUGCCCAAUGGAACAGAGUCCAGGAGAUGCCAAACAGAUAUUUUUCUGAAGAAUGAGUUUGUUUGCAAUUUGUCUCUUCAUUUAAUGCACUGCCCAUAAAGAGCCAUGUGUAAGAGUUAUUCUCUGUAUGAGGAACUAAUUACAUGGAAAAGACUUCUGUGGACAUAAUUCUGACUUAAACCCAUGAAAUACUUCAUCUUGAGAAGAGUGCUGUGUGGAAAUCACCAAAUAACUCACAACCUUAUUUCAUCUGAUGUAGAUCUGAACACCAACAUAUGAAAACUGUCAUAAGAAAAUGAAAAACCAUAAACACAGAAGCAACA
rnacentral:lncRNA from 1 species